rnacentral:rRNA from 1 species
CGAACGGGUGAGUAACACAUCGGAACGUGCCCAGUAGUGGGGGAUAACCCGGCGAAAGCCGGAUUAAUACCGCAUAAGACCUGAGGGUGAAAGCGGGGGAUCGCAAGACCUCGCGCUCUUGGAGCGGCCGAUGUCAGAUUAGCUUGUUGGUGGGGUAAAAGCCUACCAAGGCGACGAUCUGUAGCUGGUCUGAGAGGACGACCAGCCACACUGGAACUGAGACACGGCCCAG